CUGAGUUGGCAGCUUGUGUAGCCAAGUCCAUCUCAGAGGAAAAAAUGUGUACUUGGCCUUUUGUAGUCAUUCGUUGGCUUUAUCUUUCACGAUUCACCUCUCAUGCCCUAACUCUCCUCCUCCUUCUUCUUCUUUGUGUUCUUCAUCCCGCUUAUGACUCUCCUCCCAUCAACGUGCUAACCCAGCGAAGGUCGCAGUCUCCUUCCCUACCCUAACUCUCCUUCUUCGUCCCUCGCGUUCUCUUUUCUCCCUUCCUAACUCCUUCAAAUUCUUUUCUGCAAUUCGUGCUAACCUAGCCCUAACUCAGUCACGCCUCCUCCUUCUUCUUCCCUCUCCCUUCCAAGGAAUCAAAGUCCUCUAUUUUGUAGAAUUGCUUUGUCCUAAUUUCUUCGCCUAAGUUCUCACCCCUAAUUUCUUCACCCAAUUUUCGACGUUGAUCUCAUCGUCAGUUUUGUGGUGGUGUGUGAAAUCAGGCAUUCGAGAAGCAUAGGUUAGAGAAGGGCAUCGCAGAGUACAUCAAGGAGUUUAGUAGCAAGUACGGGCAAACUUGACACUGCAUUGUGGGUCGUAACUUCAAUAACCCACUUUUUUCUUUUCAUCCCUGCACCUCUCUGAUUCGAUUUCAACAGUUGAUUUUGUGCUUGAUUAAAAAAAAUAACAAAAUUGAAGUUCUCGAAGAGUUUUCAUGUUUUUAUAGUUCAACAGUGUGAUUUCAUUUGGAGAUAUGGUUUAUACAUCCAUAGAUUGUUAGGUUUUCAACCUAAAUAGCUCAACUAUAUACUCUUUUUUUCUCCUUCAUGUAGAUUGGAAACAAAACAAUCUCAUUGUUCAUGUUCAUAUGUGGGUUUUUUUGUUGAAAGUUUCUGAUUCUACUCAAUCUUGGCAUGUUGCUAUUAUUACUUUCUGACAAGUAUUACUUUCAUGGUCUUAUUACUUUCCAUUGUUCAGUUUAUCUAUUAUAGAAUGUCUAUGUGAAAAUACUCGACUUAUUGUUGUUUGCAAAUUAGUUAUAUACUUACAAUGAGUCUACUGUGCACAAAUUAUAUGAACCGGGUGAAGAAUUGAAGGUUAUUUGGGUGAAGAAAGUGUCAUUGAAGAAGAAAAAAGUCAUUCAAAUGAGAUAAAAGAUAACAACGAUCAUGCGAAUCAAGACUCAUCUCCAUCUACUAAUAAAUGAAGUCAAGCUUCUUGAGAUUGGAAUGACAUUUUCAUCUGAAGAAGAAGUUUGUACUUUUUAUAAUUCUUAUGCUCAGAAUGUUGGUUUCGGUAUUUACAAAUUAGGUGGUAGAAAUAGAGAUGAGGGAAAGUAAAAAUA